rnacentral:rRNA from 1 species
GAUUAAGUUAUUAAGGGCGCACGGUGGAUGCCUUGGCACUAGAAGCCGAUGAAGGACGUUACUAACGACGAUAUGCUUUGGGGAGCUGUAAGUAAGCUUUGAUCCAGAGAUUUCCGAAUGGGGAAACCCAGCAUGAGUUAUGUCAUGUUAUCGAUAUGUGAAUACAUAGCAUAUCAGAAGGCACACCCGGAGAACUGAAACAUCUUAGUACCCGGAGGAAGAGAAAGAAAAUUCGAUUCCCUUAGUAGCGGCGAGCGAAACGGGAAGAGCCCAAACCAACAAGCUUGCUUGUUGGGGUUGUAGGACACUCUAUACGGAGUUACAAAGGACGACAUUAGAUGAAUCAUCUGGAAAGAUGAAUCAAAGAAGGUAAUAAUCCUGUAGUCGAAAAUGUUGUCUCUCUUGAGUGGAUCCUGAGUACGACGGAGCACGUGAAAUUCCGUCGGAAUCUGGGAGGACCAUCUCCUAAGGCUAAAUACUCUCUAGUGACCGAUAGUGAACCAGUACCGUGAGGGAAAGGUGAAAAGCACCCCGGAAGGGGAGUGAAAUAGAACCUGAAACCGUGUGCUUACAAGUAGUCAGAGCCCGUUAAUGGGUGAUGGCGUGCCUUUUGUAGAAUGAACCGGCGAGUUACGAUUUGAUGCAAGGUUAAGCAGUAAAUGUGGAGCCGUAGCGAAAGCGAGUCUGAAUAGGGCGUUUAGUAUUUGGUCGUAGACCCGAAACCAGGUGAUCUACCCUUGGUCAGGUUGAAGUUCAGGUAACACUGAAUGGAGGACCGAACCGACUUACGUUGAAAAGUGAGCGGAUGAACUGAGGGUAGCGGAGAAAUUCCAAUCGAACCUGGAGAUAGCUGGUUCUCUCCGAAAUAGCUUUAGGGCUAGCCUCAAGUGAUGAUUAUUGGAGGUAGAGCACUGUUUGGACGAGGGGCCCCUCUCGGGUUACCGAAUUCAGACAAACUCCGAAUGCCAAUUAAUUUAACUUGGGAGUCAGAACAUGGGUGAUAAGGUCCGUGUUCGAAAGGGAAACAGCCCAGACCACCAGCUAAGGUCCCAAAAUAUAUGUUAAGUGGAAAAGGAUGUGGCGUUGCCCAGACAACUAGGAUGUUGGCUUAGAAGCAGCCAUCAUUUAAAGAGUGCGUAAUAGCUCACUAGUCGAGUGACACUGCGCCGAAAAUGUACCGGGGCUAAACAUAUUACCGAAGCUGUGGAUUGUCCUUUGGACAAUGGUAGGAGAGCGUUCUAAGGGCGUUGAAGCAUGAUCGUAAGGACAUGUGGAGCGCUUAGAAGUGAGAAUGCCGGUGUGAGUAGCGAAAGACGGGUGAGAAUCCCGUCCACCGAUUGACUAAGGUUUCCAGAGGAAGGCUCGUCCGCUCUGGGUUAGUCGGGUCCUAAGCUGAGGCCGACAGGCGUAGGCGAUGGAUAACAGGUUGAUAUUCCUGUACCACCUAUAAUCGUUUUAAUCGAUGGGGGGACGCAGUAGGAUAGGCGAAGCGUGCGAUUGGAUUGCACGUCUAAGCAGUAAGGCUGAGUAUUAGGCAAAUCCGGUACUCGUUAAGGCUGAGCUGUGAUGGGGAGAAGACAUUGUGUCUUCGAGUCGUUGAUUUCACACUGCCGAGAAAAGCCUCUAGAUAGAAAAUAGGUGCCCGUACCGCAAACCGACACAGGUAGUCAAGAUGAGAAUUCUAAGGUGAGCGAGCGAACUCUCGUUAAGGAACUCGGCAAAAUGACCCCGUAACUUCGGGAGAAGGGGUGCUCUUUAGGGUUAACGCCCAGAAGAGCCGCAGUGAAUAGGCCCAAGCGACUGUUUAUCAAAAACACAGGUCUCUGCUAAACCGUAAGGUGAUGUAUAGGGGCUGACGCCUGCCCGGUGCUGGAAGGUUAAGAGGAGUGGUUAGCUUCUGCGAAGCUACGAAUCGAAGCCCCAGUAAACGGCGGCCGUAACUAUAACGGUCCUAAGGUAGCGAAAUUCCUUGUCGGGUAAGUUCCGACCCGCACGAAAGGCGUAACGAUUUGGGCACUGUCUCAACGAGAGACUCGGUGAAAUCAUAGUACCUGUGAAGAUGCAGGUUACCCGCGACAGGACGGAAAGACCCCGUGGAGCUUUACUGUAGCCUGAUAUUGAAAUUCGGCACAGCUUGUACAGGAUAGGUAGGAGCCUUUGAAACGUGAGCGCUAGCUUACGUGGAGGCGCUGGUGGGAUACUACCCUAGCUGUGUUGGCUUUCUAACCCGCACCACUUAUCGUGGUGGGAGACAGUGUCAGGCGGGCAGUUUGACUGGGGCGGUCGCCUCCUAAAAGGUAACGGAGGCGCUCAAAGGUUCCCUCAGAAUGGUUGGAAAUCAUUCAUAGAGUGUAAAGGCAUAAGGGAGCUUGACUGCGAGACCUACAAGUCGAGCAGGGUCGAAAGACGGACUUAGUGAUCCGGUGGUUCCGCAUGGAAGGGCCAUCGCUCAACGGAUAAAAGCUACCCCGGGGAUAACAGGCUUAUCUCCCCCAAGAGUUCACAUCGACGGGGAGGUUUGGCACCUCGAUGUCGGCUCAUCGCAUCCUGGGGCUGUAGUCGGUCCCAAGGGUUGGGCUGUUCGCCCAUUAAAGCGGUACGCGAGCUGGGUUCAGAACGUCGUGAGACAGUUCGGUCCCUAUCCGUCGUGGGCGUAGGAAAUUUGAGAGGAGCUGUCCUUAGUACGAGAGGACCGGGAUGGACAUACCUCUGGUGUACCAGUUGUCGUGCCAACGGCAUAGCUGGGUAGCUAUGUGUGGACGGGAUAAGUGCUGAAAGCAUCUAAGCAUGAAGCCCCCCUCAAGAUGAGAUUUCCCAACUUCGGUUAUAAGAUCCCUCAAAGAUGAUGAGGUUAAUAGGUUCGAGGUGGAAGCAUGGUGACAUGUGGAGCUGACGAAUACUAAUCGAUCGAAGACUUAAUCAA